AGUGUCCAGCGGUCAUCGCCAGAACGAUCAUGGUAAUCCUGAUUGCAACAUAUUGUACCAAAUGUUCUAGUGCCAUGGGCCCAAGAUGGUGGAAAAUGUGCUGGAGGCAAGAAUGUGUAUGGCUGACACUGGGGUGUGUCACACACAUACACAUAGGAGGCAGCUAAGGGGCUCAAAUGAGGGAAAUUCCAUGCCGGGCCUCAGUGCAUUAACCCUUUCUCUUCUACUCCUGCAAACCAUUUUUGGGAAAUUCCACCCAUCCCAAAUGAUGACACUUCCGGUUCUGACCUCAAUGACAUCACUUCUGGUUCCGACCCCAAUGACAUCACUUCCUCUGGCUUGCCUUAAAUACCAUUGUUUUUCAUCAUUUCCGUGUUGAACUCCAUGAAACCAGUUGCUUUAUUUUGUCUGCAACCACCUGCAAUAUAUGGGGUGUCUACUCCAAACCUUUUUGUGACUCCCUCUUGUUCUUAUUGUGACAGGUGAUUCAGUUUGCAAGACAGACUUCUAGAUGUAACUUUUUGAUGUAACAUAUAAUAUUCUUAAACUUUAAACUUCAUCCAUUUUGGUUUUAAGAGUUUCUAAGUCUAUCCUGGCAACACUGCUCCCAAUACAGUACACAGCCUUGUA